CUCAGUGAAACUUCGGUUACCGUACGAUCACCGAAGUUAAGCUAUGUCAACUCUGAGCAGUACCUAGAUGGGUGAACACUUAGGAAUAGCAGGUGUUGUAA